GUGCCUACGGGGGGCAGCAGUGAGGAAUAUUGGUCAAUGGGCGCGAGCCUGAACCAGCCAAGUAGCGUGAAGGAUGACUGCCCUACGGGUUGUAAACUUCUUUUAUAAAGGAAUAAAGUGAGGCACGUGUGCCUUUUUGUAUGUAUUUUAUGAAUAAGGAUCGGCUAACUCCGUGCCAGCAGCCGCGGUAAUACGGAGGAUGCGAGCGUUAUCCGGAUUUAUUGGGUUUAAAGGGUGCGUAGGCGGAACAUUAAGUCAGCGGUAAAAUCGAGGGGCUCAACCCCUUUAAGCCGUUGAAACUGGUG
rnacentral:rRNA from 1 species